CCAUCCCCAUUAUAAAAAUUUCUUUCUUGAACAAGGGCGAUCCAGAUCCGGCUGUAGCACCUUCGUUCUUGAAGGUUCCGAUCCAGGGCAAAUCAUUUCAGCCUUCCCAAUCUCGGCCUCCAUCUCUAUUAUCGUUCUCAACUCUCUCUCUCUACAAGAUUCAGAAGUUCAAAACCCAAACCCAUAUAUUUCAGUUUAUCUUUCUGUCUGCAAGAAUCAAAAAUUCAAAACCCGUAUCAGUAUAUCCGAUUGUUCAGAAAAUCAAAACCCAUAUCUUUCAAGUUUCCAUCGUCACUAUUCCAGUUCGGGUUCGCCAUCGCCGCUGUUCCAGUUCGGGUUCGCCGUUGCCCGCCGUCUCUCCAUUCUUUCUGCAACUGCUAUCUUGUAUGUAUAUUGAUUUGAGAGUAAAAUUGGCAUCAUCAACCAUUACCUUCCCUUUCCUUUCAUUUCCUCCCACUUUUGGGAGGUUAAACAAAUCACUGUAGAAGGCUAUGCAUAACCCUCCAAACCUUCCCUUUCCUUCCCUUCCACCCAUUUUACCCUAACACAGUUUUUUAGUUACCCUCCAUCACCUUCCCUUCCCUUUCCUCCCAUUUCUACUCUACCAAACUGAGCCUAAAUUUUGUCAAUGCACUCAUUUUAAAUCUCAGAGACCCAAAUCGAUUCAAUUCUCUGUACCCAUAUUUUUCUUGGGUUUUGAUUGUUGUGAAUAGAAAGAGAUUGUGCGUGAGAGAGUCCCAAGGUUUUCAAUUGGAGUCCGCAUUUUGAGUUCGUCGGCAUUAGUCGGGUUUGCCGCCUCCACCGCCACAUCGCCACCAUAGCCGGCGGUGGCACUCCUAAGGGUCUUCUUUCACUUCUAGUGCAGAUAUGGUCAUUCUGUUACCAAGAUCAAGGAACGAGCAUGCCGUCCUUAUCUCAGUUUGUUGCCUCCAAUGGCAAUGUGUUCUGGGCUGGUUCUUCUCUCGUAUUUGGCUCUAUAUUCUUUCUAUGUUUCUUCUACACAGCAAUUAUGUCAAAGUUUCUUCCACCAUCAGAGAAUGUUAUCUUAUCUGCCAUACAAAAUAACAGGUAUUAUAGCCUUUUGGUGCCCUUGACUCUCCAAUUCUUGUGGUUGCUGUAUAUUUUCACUGGCUGAGUAUGAAAUUGUUCAAGCAUGCAUGAUCUUGUACUCAUACUGUUCAAGCAUGCAUGCUGCUAGCAAAGGAGUCAAAAGUAUGGUCAUUGUUGAUCUAUCUUAUACAUUUUGUUUUCUAUCUUUAAUAUAAUAAACAUCGUAGCUUUUGACUCUUUU